UUUGAUUAUGGCUCAGGAUGAACGCUAGCUACAGGCUUAACACAUGCAAGUCGAGGGGCAGCAUGGUCUUAGCUUGCUAAGGCCGAUGGCGACCGGCGCACGGGUGAGUAACACGUAUCCAACCUGCCGUCUACUCUUGGACAGCCUUCUGAAAGGAAGAUUAAUACAAGAUGGCAUCAUGAGUCCGCAUGUUCACAUGAUUAAAGGUAUUCCGGUAGACGAUGGGGAUGCGUUCCAUUAGAUAGUAGGCGGGGUAACGGCCCACCCAGUCUUCGAUGGAUAGGGGUUCUGAGAGGAAGGUCCCCCACAUUGGAACUGAGACACGGUCCAAACUCCUACGGGAGGCAGCGGUGAGGAAUAUUGGUCAAUGGGCGAGAGCCUGAACCAGCCAAGUAGCGUGAAGGAUGACUGCCCUAUGGGUUGUAAACUUCUUUUAUAAAGGAAUAAAGUCGGGUAUGGAUACCCGUUUGCAUGUACUUUAUGAAUAAGGAUCGGCUAACUCCGUGCCAGCAGCCGCGGUAAUACGGAGGAUCCGAGCGUUAUCCGGAUUUAUUGGGUUUAAAGGGAGCGUAGAUGGAUGUUUAAGUCAGUUGUGAAAGUUUGCGGCUCAACCGUAAAAUUGCAGUUGAUACUGGAUAUCUUGAGUGCAGUUGAGGCAGGCGGAAUUCGUGGUGUAGCGGUGAAAUGCUUAGAUAUCACGAAGAACUCCGAUUGCGAAGGCAGCCUGCUAAGCUGCAACUGACAUUGAGGCUCGAAAGUGUGGGUAUCAAACAGGAUUAGAUACCCUGGUAGUCCACACGGUAAACGAUGAAUACUCGCUGUUUGCGAUAUACAGCAAGCGGCCAAGCGAAAGCGUUAAGUAUUCCACCUGGGGAGUACGCCGGCAACGGUGCAACUCAAAUGAAUUGACGG
rnacentral:rRNA from 1 species